GACGUAGGUGGCAAGCGUUGUUCGGAAUCACUGGGCAUAAAGCGCGCGUAGGCGGCCAAGUCAGUCAGGUGUGAAAUACCUCGGCUCAACCGAGGAACUGCGCCUGAUACUGCUUGGCUUGAGGUCCGGAGGGGAGAGUGGAAUUCCCGGUGGAGCGGUGAAAUGCGUAGAGAUCGGGAAGAACGCCGGCGGCGAAAGCGGGUCUCUGGGCCGAUACUGACGCUGAGGAGCGAAAGCGUGGGGAGCGAACAGG
rnacentral:rRNA from 1 species